rnacentral:rRNA from 1 species
AUCAACGCUGGCGGCGUGCCUAACACAUGCAAGUCGAACGAGAAAGUGGAGCAAUCCAUGAGUACAGUGGCGACCGGGUGAGUAACACGUGACUAACCUACCUUCGAGUGGGGGAUAACCUCGGGAAACCGAGGCUAAUACCGCAUAACAUCGAGAGAUCAAAGGAGCAAUUCGCUUGAAGAGGGGGUCGCGGCUGAUUAGCUAGUUGGCGGGGUAAUGGCCCACCAAGGCGAAGAUCGGUAGCCGGCCUGAGAGGGCGCACGGCCACACUGGAACUGAAACACGGUCCAGACUCCUACGGGAGGCAGCAGUGGGGAAUUUUGCGCAAUGGGGGAAACCCUGACGCAGCAACGCCGCGUGGAGGAUGAAGCCCCUUGGGGUGUAAACUCCUUUCGACCAAGACGAUAAUGACGGUACUGGUGGAAGAAGCACCGGCUAACUCUGUGCCAGCAGCCGCGGUAAUACAGAGGGUGCGAGCGUUGUUCGGAAUUAUUGGGCGUAAAGGGCGCGUAGGCGGCGCAGCAAGUCACCUGUGAAAUCUCUGGGCUUAACUCAGAGGCUGCUGCCGAAACUGCUGUGCUCGAGUGCGAGAGAGGCGAGUGGAAUUGCAGGUGUAGCGGUGAAAUGCGUAGAUAUCUGCAGGAACAUCCGAGGCGAAAGCGGCUCGCUGGAUCGCAACUGACGCUGAGGGACGAUAGCUAGGGGAGCAAACAGGA